rnacentral:rRNA from 1 species
AAAGCCUGACGGCGUGCCUAAACAUGCAAGUCGAACGCUUUUUCUUUCACCGGAGCUUGCUCCACCGAAAGAAAAAGAGUGGCGAACGGGUGAGUAACACGUGGGUAACCUGCCCAUCAGAAGGGGAUAACACUUGGAAACAGGUGCUAAUACCGUAUAACACUAUUUUCCGCAUGGAAGAAAGUUGAAAGGCGCUUUUGCGUCACUGAUGGAUGGACCCGCGGUGCAUUAGCUAGUUGGUGAGGUAACGGCUCACCAAGGCAACGAUGCAUAGCCGACCUGAGAGGGUGAUCGGCCACACUGGGACUGAGACACGGCCCAGACUCCUACGGGAGGCAGCAGUAGGGAAUCUUCGGCAAUGGACGAAAGUCUGACCGAGCAACGCCGCGUGAGUGAAGAAGGUUUUCGGAUCGUAAAACUCUGUUGUUAGAGAAGAACAAGGAUGAGAGUAAAAUGUUCAUCCCUUGACGGUAUCUAACCAGAAAGCCACGGCUAACUACGUGCCAGCAGCCGCGGUAAUACGUACGUGGCAAGCGUUGUCCGGAUUUAUUGGGCGUAAAGCGAGCGCAGGGCGGAUUCUUAAAUCUGAUGUGAGAGACCCCGGCUCAACGGGGG